GGACCACGGCUUCAAAGCCCGAAAAACAUUUCUAAAUUUUCGAAGUUCGUGGUCUGGCAACGCUGAUCGUGCAUGAUACGAAUACGAGCACGACAACCACGGGCGAGAAUAGUUUGAUAAUCUGUGAUUUGCUUCAUGUUGUAACUGUAAACUCUGGUGUUCCAAUAAUGGUGCAAUUAGAAGAAAAGUGUAAAGCGAUCGUCAAAUACAGUCAGUAGAAUACGAGAUUGGCAGCGCUCCAUUACUGGCAAUUAGCCAGCUCAUUAGAGGCGAGGUGGCUGUUUGGUAUGCUACCAUAUUAUCUCGCAAGUUGGUUUGUUUAAGUGUUGUGGAGUAGACCUUCAAAUAGAAUCUAGCUAUCAACAAGUAGCUUUUUUUUUAUCAAACUAGUAAGGUUUUUUAUCUCCAUUCUCAACUGGUCAUUUUUCUUGCUGCCACUAAAUUUUGGAGUUGAGAAAUUACUCAAAAUUAAUUUUACUCAAAAAUAAUUAAAAUGGCAUUCUUCUUUAAUAAUUUAGCAGUUCAAUAAAGCAUGCCCAUAA